rnacentral:rRNA from 1 species
UACGGAGGGUGCGAGCGUUGUCCGGAUUUAUUGGGUUUAAAGGGUGCGUAGGUGGCUUUUUAAGUCAGUGGUGAAAUACGGUUGCUCAACAAUCGAGGUGCCAUUGAUACUGAAGAGCUUGAAAUAAUUGGAGGCUGCCGGAAUGGAUGGUGUAGCGGUGAAAUGCAUAGAUAUCAUCCAGAACACCGAUUGCGAAGGCAGGUGGCUACGAUUUGUUUGACACUGAGGCACGAAAGCAUGGGGAGCAAACAGG